GUUCCCUACGGGACGCAGCAGUGAGGAAUAUUGGUCAAUGGGCGAGAGCCUGAACCAGCCAAGUCGCGUGAGGGAAGACGGUCCUAUGGAUUGUAAACCUCUUUUGCCGGGGAGCAAAAAGCGGUACGUGUACCGCAUCGAGAGUACCCGGAGAAAAAGCAUCGGCUAACUCCGUGCCAGCAGCCGCGGUAAUACGGAGGAUGCGAGCGUUAUCCGGAUUUAUUGGGUUUAAAGGGUGCGCAGGCGGCGAGUUAAGUCAGCGGUAAAAUUUCGGGGCUUAACCCCGUGCCUGCCUCUGAUACUGU
rnacentral:rRNA from 1 species